rnacentral:rRNA from 1 species
UACGUAGGGACCGAGCGUUGUCCGGAAUCAUUGGGCGUAAAGAGCUCGUAGGCGGCUAGUCACGUCGGAUGUGAAAACCCGAGGCUCAACCUCGGGCCUGCAUUCGAUACGGGCUGGCUAGAGUACUGCAGGGGAGACUGGAAUUCCUGGUGUAGCGGUGAAAUGCGCAGAUAUCAGGAGGAACACCGGUGGCGAAGGCGGGUCUCUGGGCAGUAACUGACGCUGAGGAGCGAAAGCGUGGGGAGCGAACAGG